rnacentral:rRNA from 1 species
GUAUAACCUACCCAGUGUAUAAUAUAUUAACGGUUACACAAUAGUAUUAAAGUAGCGUAAUAAAUUGUCAUUUAAUUAAUGAAUANAAUGAAGGUUUAAUGAAUUAAAUUCUGUCUUUAAAAAAUAAAAUAAAAUUAAUAAUUUUGUGAAAANUCUUAAUUUUUUUUUAAAAGACGAUAAGACCCUAUAGAACUUAUUUAAAGGAUUUUAAAUUUACUGGGGAAGUAAA